rnacentral:rRNA from 1 species
ACGCCGCGUGCGGGAUGACGGCCUUCGGGUUGUAAACCGCUUUUGACUGGGAGCAAGCCCUUCGGGGUGAGUGUACCUUUCGAAUAAGCACCGGCUAACUACGUGCCAGCAGCCGCGGUAAUACGUAGGGUGCAAGCGUUAUCCGGAAUUAUUGGGCGUAAAGGGCUCGUAGGCGGUUCGUCGCGUCCGGUGUGAAAGUCCAUCGCUUAACGGUGGAUCCGCGCCGGGUACGGGCGGGCUUGAGUGCGGUAGGGGAGACUGGAAUUCCCGGUGUAACGGUGGAAUGUGUAGAUAUCGGGAAGAACACCAAUGGCGAAGGCAGGUCUCUGGGCCGUCACUGACGCUGAGGAGCGAAAGCGUGGGGAGCGAACAGGAUUAGAUACCCUGGUAGUCCACGCUGUAAACGGUGGAUGCUGGAUGUGGGGACCAUUCCACGGUCUCCGUGUCGGAGCCAACGCGUUAAGCAUCCCGCCUGGGGAGUACGGCCGCAAGGCUAAAACUCAAAGAAAUUGACGGGGGCCCGCACAAGCGGCGGAGCAUGCGGAUUAAUUCGAUGCAACGCGAAGAACCUUACCUGGGCUUGACAUGUUCCCGACAGCCGUAGAGAUACGGUCUCCCUUCGGGGCGGGUUCACAGGUGGUGCAUGGUCGUCGUCAGCUCGUGUCGUGAGAUGUUGGGUUAAGUCCCGCAACGAGCGCAACCCUCGCCCUGUGUUGCCAGCACGUCGUGGUGGGAACUCACGGGGGACCGCCGGGGUCAACUCGGAGGAAGGUGGGGAUGACGUCAGAUCAUCAUGCCCCUUACGUCCAGGGCUUCACGCAUGCUACAAUGGCCGGUACAACGGGAUGCGACACCGCGAGGUGGAGCGGAUCCCUUAAAACCGGUCUCAGUUCGGAUUGGAGUCUGCAACCCGACUCCAUGAAG